CGAACGGCAGCACAGUAAGAGCUUGCUCUUAUGGGUGGCGAGUGGCGGACGGGCGAGGAAUACAUCGGAGUCUACUCUUUCGUGGGGGAUAACGUAGGGAAACUUACGCUAAUACCGCAUACGACCUACGGGUGAAAGCGGAGGACCUUCGGGCUUCGCGCGAUUGAAUGAGCCGAUGUCGGAUUAGCUAGUUGGCGGGGUAAAGGCCCACCAAGGCGACGAUCCGUAGCUGGUCUGAGAGGAUGAUCAGCCACACUGGAACUGAGACACGGUCCAGACUCCUACGGGAGGCAGCAGUGGGGAAUAUUGGACAAUGGGCGCAAGCCUGAUCCAGCCAUGCCGCGUGGGUGAAGAAGGCCUUCGGGUUGUAAAGCCCUUUUGUUGGGAAAGAAAAGCAGUCGGUUAAUACCCGAUUGUUCUGACGGCACCCAAAGAAUAAGCACCGGCUAACUUCGUGCCAGCAGCCGCGGUAAUACGAAGGGUGCAAGCGUUACUCGGAAUUACUGGGCGUAAAGCGUGCGUAGGUGGUGGUUUAAGUCUGUUGUGAAAGCCCUGGGCUCAACCUGGGAAUUGCAGUGGAUACUGGGUCACUAGAGUGUGGUAGAGGGUAGCGGAAUUCCCGGUGUAGCAGUGAAAUGCGUAGAGAUCGGGAGGACAUCCGUGGCGAAGGCGGCUACCUGGACCAACACUGACACUGAGGCACGAAAGCGUGGGGAGCAAAC
rnacentral:rRNA from 1 species